rnacentral:misc_RNA from 1 species
AAAGUCGUAACAAGGUUUCCGUAGGUGAACCUGCGGAAGGAUCAUUAACUAAUGUGGGUGGGCGCGAGCCUGCCUAACAAAUGCCAGUGUUGUUUAUGUUAAAAAACGCGAAGUAAUAUACAACUUUUAACAAUGGAUCUCUUGGCUCUU